UUCUUCCUGUUUACCUGUGUUGUUAUGUAUUUAUUUAUGGGAUUUAUAUUUAUGCCCUUCCUAAACUACUCUCACAUCAUCAUGAGAUGUGAUUUUAAAUCAGACUCUUGCUUUUCCAGUGUGUUGGUGUAUCCGUGCCUUGCUGUGAUGGGAGAUCUUGGUUCAUGUGAUGCCAAGUGUUUUUGGAUUCUGUUGCUUAGGUUCUGGUACCUGCCUCUCACCAUCUGGUUAUCUGAGCACUUAGCUGGUCUUGCUGUCUAUGACAGUGACUUCAACUUUCUGUAAUGUAUCUGUCAGCACUUUUGGGAUACCAGCACCCUCCCAGAGGGACUUGGUUACUGAGAAAUGUAGCACUGGAUCAGCUCUGUUUGCAAAUCGAAACCAGAAUAUACUGUCCCAGCUGAUUUUGGGUUCCUGUGUCCUGAGGGCUCCAGACAGCUUCCUCUGGGCAGAAGUGGAUGUUUCUUCUGUGUCUCAGGUGUGUCAGCAUUCCUUAGAAACCAGUUCUUUCCAUGCAGGAUCUGGGCACAGAGAGUUGUGGAUCACAUUCUUCAUCAGGUGCUUAUUGAAGCCAUGGGUAACAAAACUUAUAUUGUCAUCAAAUUAUGGAUGUAUUUUUACUUAUUCUACUGUCUCAUCUGCUUUGGCAUCAGCGCUGAAUAGAUUUAAGACAUCUGCGCAUGUGUCUUCAGGUGCUGAAGAAAAACACCCUUCUCUGUACAUUGCCUAUUGGGCUGACACUUAAACAUUGCUCUGGGAUGUUGCAAACAGACCAAGCUAGAAAGGUACAAAAUGACUUUAUGUGCCUUAGUUGGAAUGUUGAUCUUAUUCUCUUAGACAAUCAACUUGUCUCUCUCUGCAUCCUAUUACACGCUGAGGACAGAAUAUUUGGAGGAUGUUGUACCUGCCCCCGAAACACUGCAACUCACUGAGUUGGAAAAUUGAGAAACUAUAAAGAAGAGAUUCUACCCUGCACUGUGGAUUCCCAGUGUUUUAUUUUGGAUGCCUUAUUCACCCAAGAGCAACAAGUUACGAAGGCAUCGAGAAAGCAUGGACAACAGCUGAGUCUUAUCACUGUGUGGCAGGGAUGGAUUUCUGGAAGACAUGCAAGAAGAGGCUACUGAUGAGAGUGCACCCCAGUUGCAACAAGUGGCUGCAUUUCUAAGGAAAAGUGACCCUUGCUCAUCCAGCAGUCAUCAGUACUAAUGGAACCCAGGAUUAUUUCCAAGAAGUGCAAAUAUGGGAUGAAAUUUUUCUUUUGAAGAAUUCGAUUGGUUGGCUGAGGAGAGAAUUCAAUGGAUUUCCCAUUGGGAUGAAAUUUUUCAAAGAAGAAAAAGUAGAUGAAAGUUACCAUGUUGUGACCUGUAAUUUCACAUAGGGAGAGAUGAACAUGGAGUACUUGUCUGAGGACACUUUGGAUUACACUAAUUAGAAGGAACCCUAGGCUGCAGUUUGUGAGACUUUAUUCGUUGAAGCCUUGAAGCUGUGAAAGUGGCAACAACCAGCAAGGAUGCGGCAGUAUUUCUGGCAAGUAAUUGAAUCUAACUCCUUUAGUGAUAACCAUUAACAUUUUUAGAUUGUUCCAGGACACAUGCUAGAUUUCAUUAGGGCUCACGAAUUAGCUCUGCAUAACUGUGGUGAGGGUCUUUCUGAAAGGAAGACAGUUGUCAUCUUUCCUACUGAAUGCAGAAAGUGCUGAGAAGUCAACAUGAAGACAGCGCAUUCCUCUCAAAUUUUCUUUUGUUUUGCAUGGAGGAAAAAACUUUUUCUCCUUAAAGAAACAACUCUUUAAUUGCUCCACAUAGGGUUAAUAUUAUCGAGGUCUUCAAUGUAUAUCCCAGCACAAAAAAGGGUCUAUUUAUUUCCUUUGUUGAUGUUGAACUUUUCCUGUCUAAAUUUCUUGUUUU
rnacentral:sRNA from 1 species